UGCCGGCAGGCCUAACACAUGCAAGUCGAGCGGAUGAGAGGAGCUUGCUCCUUGAUUUAGCGGCGGACGGGUGAGUAAUGCCUAGGAAUCUGCCUGGUGGUGGGGGAUAACGUUCCGAAAGGAACGCUAAUACCGCAUACGUCCUACGGGAGAAAGCGGGGGAUCUUCGGACCUCGCGCCAUUAGAUGAGCCUAGGUCGGAUUAGCUAGUUGGUGAGGUAAUGGCUCACCAAGGCGACGAUCCGUAACUGGUCUGAGAGGAUGAUCAGUCACACUGGAACUGAGACACGGUCCAGACUCCUACGGGAGGCAGCAGUGGGGAAUAUUGGACAAUGGGCGAAAGCCUGAUCCAGCCAUGCCGCGUGUGUGAAGAAGGUCUUCGGAUUGUAAAGCACUUUAAGUUGGGAGGAAGGGCAUUCACCUAAUACGUUAGUGUUUUGACGUUACCGACAGAAUAAGCACCGGCUAACUUCGUGCCAGCAGCCGCGGUAAUACGAAGGGUGCAAGCGUUAAUCGGAAUUACUGGGCGUAAAGCGCGCGUAGGUGGUUCGUUAAGUUGGAUGUGAAAGCCCCGGGCUCAACCUGGGAACUGCAUC
rnacentral:rRNA from 1 species